AUUGAACGCUGGCGGCAGGCUUAAAACAUGCAAGUCGAGCGAGCGGCGGACGGGUGAGUAAUGUCUGGGAAACUGCCUGAUGGAGGGGGAUAACUACUGGAAACGGUAGCUAAUACCGCAUACCAUCAGAUGUGCCCAGCUGGGAUUAGCUAGUAGGUGGGGUAAUGGCUCACCUAGGCGACGCUCCCUAGCUGGUCUGAGAGGAGGACCCGCCACACUGGAACUGAGACACGGUCCAGACUCCUACGGGAGGCAGAAGUUGGGAAUAUUGCACAAUGGGCGCAAGCCUGAUGCAGCCAUGCCGCUUGUAUGAAGAAGGCCUUCGGGUUGUAAAGUACUUUCAGCGAGGAGGCGUUACUCGCAGAAGAAGCACCGGCUAACUCCGUGCCAGCAGCCGCGGUAAUUC
rnacentral:rRNA from 1 species